AUCUACAUAUCUAAGUUUAAGAGCUGGGUUCUUACCUCAGUAAUGUGCGUGAGAUGUAAUUU
rnacentral:tRNA from 1 species